rnacentral:misc_RNA from 1 species
AACCUCCUCAAGCUCUGCUUGGUGUUGGGCGUUUGUCCCGCCUUUGGGCAUGGACUCGCCUCAAAAAUAUUGGCAGCCACCUCCCUGGCUUCGAGCGCAGCACAUUUGCGCCCGGUUCUUAGGGUAGUGAUUUUCCAGAAGCCCUUUUUUUC